rnacentral:lncRNA from 1 species
UAACCCCUUAAAAAGAAUGACGCCAAUUUUGAAUCACCCUGUAUGUUUACUUGGGUACAUCUUGAUACUAUCUUUUGAAAUUGGAACACAUACUUAAGCCCUCAUUAUAAUAAAGUGUAUUAAAAGUCAUUCAUUAAAACAUAUUGUAGGGAAAUUUAGCAAUGUUGUGAAAACAAUUAAAAAUGAGUUUAUUUGUUACUCCCAAAAACAAAACAAUCCAAUUAACAUCCAAAAAACAAACGACGGGCGUCGUCGUCUAGCCCUUCGUCCUACAUCGUGGUGUGUCGUCCUUCAUCGUGGUGUGUCGUCCUUUUCCGUGUUCCCCGCAUUUGGCUCUCUCUACUUCAUAGCGACAGGGCCGGACCCACAAUAUAAUUUACUUCUUUUGGCUGUAAGUAUUUUGCACAAUCAAAUGACUCGAAAAGUAUCUCGACUUAUCUUUCGAUUUUUCCAGUUUUCUCCCCAUUGUAAUCCAAACUGUAAAUGCGUUUUCUAAAAUAGCAAAACAUAUUUAAAAAGUUGAUUGUUGGAGGAAAAUCUGACUUCUUAAUGACCGCAUUACCUAAGGCGGGACCAACCACUAUGCACCGGGUUCAUAAAUAGCUACGUAUAGGUAAAUUUAUAAAUAAAAACGCUGAAGACACUGAACGAUUGGCUCCAGGAAUUGACGCAGAUAGUGUACGAUGUAAAGGUGCUCCGGUUCCAAACAUAGAGGAACAGGCACCAGAUAAUUGUCCUGAUAACUCUCCCGACGAAGGGCUACAUUUUUAUCACGUAUGUAAGAAACACAGGUCCCAAGUACGCACCAAAUAUCUGGUUUACUCCACACCGGUACAACUUGAACCAGCCCGAGUUAAUUAACCGAAUACGAGAAGCGGCUAAAAAUGUGAUGUGAUACGGGCACGUACAAACCUGUUGGGAGUUAAACGGGCUGAACUUCGAACACCUCAUGUGAUUUAACUACUUAAUUGUAUUUUAUUUGUUGUUGUGGCUCUGUUUCAAUUGAGGUUUUCUGUCACAUCUGUACAUAAAGUGCAAGUUUAAAAAUC